CAUGGCAGGUCGGCUGAGCACGCCCAGCUCCACAGGCAACUCAGAGCCACAUGUAGCUCAGAAAGAUUUAAACGCGCAGCUUUCUUGCACUGGCAGCAUUUUCACAUUUCCCCUUUCUUCAGUUUUUCUACAUUACUUGAAGUGACUCUUAUGCUUACCUCAACACUGUGCUUUGAAGAAAAAUAUGGGGGAGAGGAGGAGGUACCCAAUGUGUCACCAGGGGCAACCUGCAUUUGAUGGGAAGCUGCUGGGCCCAACGGCAUCUGCUAUGUACAAAAUACUUUGAUCAUUCAAGUUCCCUAUGCUAGACGGCCCUCUACCCAUCAAACUGCGGUGUGCUCAAGAGAACAACCAGAAAAAUCACAACAGAAAAUUGAACGAACGUUCUUCUACUUCCACAUGCUUCCACAAUCCUCUCCCAAAAUUCCCAGAAAAAGAAAAUCCAGUUCUUCUCCAACUUCACCCUUAUCACCUCAGGAAGAAAAAGCAGGCUCCAAUGCAGGAGCUGGAAAGAGCCUGACUUGGACAAGAGGAACUGCAAGAUGUAGGAAUGUGUGACUUUUGUGUGGCCCUGCCCUUAUUUAUAAACCUCCUUACUGUGCUUCAUCUCAAGUUUCUGAAGAGGUAUGAAUUGUGUUUAAUUAAAGCUAGAGUGAUGGAAGUGGACAGAGUUAUUUCAAGGCUGUUCACACAUCCUUAGCCCCUCUUAUCAAGCUUUCAGAGCUCUAUUUUAAAAGGUUAGGGGGGUGGUAGGAGGCAAUUAUGUCUCUUCUCUAACAGCUGCCAGAGAUUACUGCCGUCAGAGUAAUUAUCACCAAAUAAUUGUCCCCUUUCUUUCCUGCUGAUGGGGCAGAGACUCAACUGAAGUAGAUUUUGUAUUUGCUGAAUACAAGUUGGGUAGCUAAGGUCAACAAGCAUCCAUGGAGUAUUUAUUUCAGCAUUAUACCUGUUGACCACAGCAAAAAAUUAAAAUUCAUUUGUUACCGAAGAGAAAGCCAUCAAAUGUCCCUUCCCUAAGAUCAUGCAGAUUUCUUGAAUUUGAAUAACUGGAGUUGAAAUAAAUGUUUAUUUUAGCCUAAAAUAAAUCAGUCUCUGCUGAGGAUGAAUUCCAG
ensembl:lincRNA uncharacterized LOC106149470